rnacentral:lncRNA from 12 species
AAUCAAUACAGAUGCAUUAACAGUAACAAAAACUAACUCUUUAAGCUUGUUAUAUGCCAGGCACUGGUGGGGUUUUUUUGUUUUGUUUUGUUUUUUUGCAUUUUAUGUAUUUUAAGUCAUUUCAUCUUCUGAACAUCCCCACAAGGCAGAUACUAUUAUUCCCACUCCACAAAUAAGGAAACAAACAGAGGGUGGGUGACUUGCAUGAGUUCUCACAGCUGUUAAGUAACAGAGACAGGGUUUGAUCUCAAGGGGUUUUCAUUUAAUGCCUUGGCAUCACAUAGGACCUUUGCAUAACCCCUGGGGAGUGGGAAGCUUUUAGCAUGGCGGAGGUUGAUAUUUCUACCAGCUCACCAGGAUGAAGGCUUAGAGGCAGCGUAAUGAUGGUCAAUUGGACCAGAGGAACACCACAACUGCCAGGGGAGGUCCUGGCAGCAGAAUGCUUUAUAGAAGAGAAGAACAGCUGCAACUGGCCCAUCUCAGGAUUAAAAAAAAACACACACACACAAAAAACAGCAAAUGUGAAAAGACACAGGAGAAGCCAAGAGAACCUUGAGGCAGAUGCGCUAAAGGCAGGGAAAAUAAAUAGCCAUCCCUUGUGCUGAGUACUCCAGAUGAAAUUGUAGAGCUGCUACCCAAUUGGAGGAAAAUGUUUGGUUUGCUGAGCCCAUUUACGUUUCUCGCGGUUCCUGUUUUUCAUAAUGUCAGGUUUGAAACCCCCAUACACACUAAUGACUGAGUCAUAAAUACACCAAAAAGUUGCUACACGUUUCCGAAAGUUAGUUCCUGGGUGUCUACUUGUAACUCUUUUCAAAGUGCUUUCCCCCACAAAGAAAAUACCAGCAGCAAUUAAAGCAGACAAAUGACUCAUUUGGGUGAAAGCAGUUUUCGAGUCAAGGGUGUUUAAAAGCAAAAGUUAUUUUUGAAAAAUCUUCACAAUCAGCUCUAAUUGGCAGCGCUGUUUCUUCUUAUUUUGCACUAUUGUGAGGGUUUCAAGAGACCUCUUGGCCAUCGUGAUCCUCCCAUGUGUGGGCAGAGCGGGGAAUAAGGCACAGCCAGCCUGGUGGGCUUAAUCCUACAGAACAGUGAUUCUGGAAGUGUUGUCCUGGUGCCCACCUGCACCAGAAUUACCUGAGAAGAGGAGGCGCUCAUCUAAAACGCAGAGUGUGGGCCCCCUCGCCCCCACCCCUACCCCAGACCAGCUCCAUCAGAAUCUCUGGAGUUUGAGCAGAGGAAAU